rnacentral:lncRNA from 1 species
GUACUUGUUUACUGUCGUAAAUUAAUAUUAGGUGCUCGUUGUUAUUCUGUGGUUUACAUGUUGAAAUGUACUUUUAUAUUAUGUAUUCACGUAUUUCUCUGUCCUGAGUGGUCUUGCAUUUAUUUGUACUGUAUUUCUUUCACGUAAUGUUGUCAUUGUAGCGGUACUUUUGACAAUGCAAUAUAAGGGGGAGGUUUGGUAAACCAUAA